CAAUAGCGUAUAUUAAAGUUGUUGCAGUUAAAAAGCUCGUAGUUGGAUUUCUGGUUGAAGCGACCGGUCGGGCGUUGAUUCGUCUGCACUGGAGUCGGUUUUGGCCAUCCUCUAGGAAAGUGCGUCUGGUAUUAAGUUAUCGGGCGUAUGAUCCUGGUCUUUUACUGUGAAAAAAUUAGAGUGUUUAAAGCGGGCCUUCGCCUUGAAUACAUUAGCAUGGAAUAAUAAGAUAGGACUUUGGUCUAUUUUGUUGGUUUGCAGACCGAAGUAAUGAUUAAUAGGGAUAGUUGGGGGUAUUUAUAUUCCGAUGUCAGAGGUGAAAUUCUUAGAUUUUCGGAAGAUAAACUUCUGCGAAAGCAUUUACCAAGGAUGUUUNCAUUA
rnacentral:rRNA from 1 species